rnacentral:rRNA from 4 species
AAACGACUCUUGGCAACGGAUAUCUAGGCUCUUGCAUCGAUGAAGAACGUAGCGAAAUGCGAUACUUGGUGUGAAUUGCAGAAUCCCGUGAAUCAUCGAGUCUUUGAACGCAAGUUGCGCCCAAAGCCUUCGGGCCGAGGGCACGUCUGCCUGGGCGUCAUAA